AAGACUGUCCUUUCAGGGAUCAUUUCUGUGGUUUGUUACUAGAGAAUGUUCUCCAAACGUAUAGAGCACUGGAAGCCAUGAGCGGGAGGUGCAGGGUUCUCUUUCUUUGGGGAGAGUGGGACAGAGAAGAGGAGGUCUGAGUGG
rnacentral:snoRNA from 1 species